GUUCAUGGCGGUUGUGCAUGGGGCACGCUUGCGUGCGCCGGUUUCUGUGUUCGCCGGUCUGUCAACCCAUGCACAGCUGCCACCAUU
rfam:Pseudomonas putida KT2440 complete genome.